AGAACAAUGACAAAGUGGAAGCCCGCUAAGAAAUCCUUCUAGUUGGUCAUUACUUUCCUGUUUGGACUUGGAUUGGUUUUCCUCGGUCUUAACAAUCUUUUUUAAUUUUUCCAGAACCAAACGUUGGAAGGACAACAGAGUCAUCGCUGGACCUGACGACUCCAGAACCAAUCGAUCAGAUCAAUGUCCAAAGUGACCGGCACCGUCACUUCCUCUGGAUCUCUGUUGUGACUGUCUGCUUCAUAGCAAUCCUGGGAGGUGUAGUCUUAACUUUACUCAAACUAAAGCGUGGAGAACAAAAUGUAAAACAGACAGAGAAAAAAAGGCAUCCUUCAAAGAAAAGCACUUUCAGAGCUUCUCUUAGGUCGCCCUCGUCCGUUCAGAGAUUCAACCCAACAGGAUCAUCAGGAAACUCUGUAUGAUGGAGACAGACCUCCAUCAGAGAAAAGCUCUCCUGGAGAUCCUUCAGUCGGCCGAGUCAAACCCUUGCAGAGUCCGGAUAAAGACGACUUUGAAGGAACAGAUUUUCCGUCUGAGCAAAUUAGUUUUAGACUUUAAAAAACGAGGGACCGCUGCAGACCUCUAAAUCCUUUCCAAGAUUCUGAGGAUCUUAUCGGCUGCAGGAUUAUCUCUCUGUGUCUCAGGAGAACCUUUAUUUAUUUAGCGUAGGAGAAAGAACUUCACAGUUUACACCUCGUCAAUCGUUCCUCAACAAGAGACGACGACGACGACGACGACUUCACCCGACCUCAAAAGGACCCAGAAUGGAUUUCUUUUUUUAUGUUAUUUAUUCAAAUCUUUAUUUUCUGGUCUGCUCAGAUUCAUCUUCUUCAGCAGAGGAGCUAUGUGCCAUAUGUUGUGUUCCUAAAUGAUGUCUCCAUAAGCUUUGGAUAUUUCUGUUAAAAAUCCGAUGAACGUUGUUGGAGAAUUGAUUUAUUCUGGGUCUUCUCCAGUUGUUGCACUGAAACACUAAUGUUGAAUUAUAAGCUCAGCUGUUAAACAAACGUGAUGUUUAGUUACAGUUUAUUUAUGUUAGCUAUGUUAGCUUGUUAUGCUAACACCUCCACUUGUUUACAAAGAAGUUCAGUCAGUGGAUUAAAAGAAACGUAUUGUUGAAUGUUCUGACAGUUUAAUAGUUGAGUGUGUUUCAUUAGUCAACGUGUCAGAUCUGUGCCGAUCCUCAGCUCUUAUACUGAAGAUUUAUCAGCUUAUCCUCAGCUAUAUGAGGGGGCGUGGCCUGAUUCUAGACUUGUCAUAUCCGAUUUUUGCUGCUCACUUUGUCCUAAAUGAGUGACGACUUCUUAAAGGUUUGUUUUUAUUUUGCAUAGGGGGAGGAGUUAAGACUGAUUCAUGUUAUGAAGAGUUUUAUUUUAGUAUUUUGUGUGACUGACAGAUGAUUUUAAUUUAUAUGGAAGAUGAUGUGGUUAGCUCUACUUCCUUCAUAUCGACUGUGCCGUGUGUUUGAGCAGGGCAAUACUGUCUACUGUUUUUGCACUUAUCUUAAUUUGACAUGAUGACUUGAAAAUGUGUAGCCUACACCUUUCAUAAAGGUUGAAAACUGUGUUUUCCCCUGAAUGUAUUUG